UACGUAGGGACCGAGCGUUGUCCGGAAUCAUUGGGCGUAAAGAGCGUGUAGGCGGCUAUUUAAGUCCUGCGUGAAAUCCUGCGGCUCAACCGCAGACGGUCGUGGGAAACUGGGCGGCUAGAGUGCGGGAGAGGAGAGUGGAAUUCCUGGUGUAGCGGUGGAAUGCGCAGAUAUCAGGAAGAACACCCGUGGCGAAGGCGGCUCUCUGGAACGCAACUGACGCUGAGACGCGAAAGCGUGGGGAGCAACAGG
rnacentral:rRNA from 1 species